AACGCUGACUGGAGUACCAAACCCGAGCCGCCACCCCUUCAUCUUUGGCUUCGCUACUAAGGAAAACGCAGCUCUUCUUCCCCCGCUCCUCCACUCCAGUCCACUACUUACCAUGCGGGCAGGGCGAGCGGCACCAUUCACUUUCACUCGCCAUCCUUGAUUUCCCGUGAUUUGCAGCGAAAUUCAGUUCUCUCCCCGAUUGAUUUCCCCUGGUUAUCAUCGGACCUGAGUCUCAAACCGUAGCUCGGGCUCAUCCACGGCCGGCCUGCUAAUCCCUGUAGGAACCGAUCCAAAGAGGGGCAGUGUCAUGGAUAGUUAUAGUAAUCUACCAAUUGGAUCUUCCGGGAAGGCCUGCUAAUCCCAGUAGGAACCGAUCCAAAGAAGGGGGAGUGUCAUGGAUACUUAUAGUAAUCUACCAAUUGGAUCUUCUGGGAGGG